rnacentral:rRNA from 1 species
AGGACGAACGCUGGCGGCGUGCCUAAUACAUGCAAGUCGAACGGUCUUUCUAUGGAAGCUUGCUUCCACUGAGAAGAUAGUGGCGAACGGGUGAGGUAACACGUGGGUAACCUGCCCAUAAGAGGGGGGAGUAACAUCCGGAAACGGGUGCUAAUACCGCAUAGUUUUUCUUGAUCGCAUGAUUGAGAAAGGAAAGAUGGCCUUUGUGCUGUCGCUUAUGGAUGGACCCGCGGCGUAUUAGUUAGUUGGUGAGGUAACGGCUCACCAAGACGAUGAUACGUAGCCGACCUGAGAGGGUGAUCGGCCACAUUGGGACUGAGACACGGCCCAAACUCCUACGGGAGGCAGCAGUAGGGAAUCUUCCGCAAUGGACGAAAGUCUGACGGAGCAACGCCGCGUGAGUGAAGAAAAGGGUUUUCGGAUCGUAAAACUCUGUUGUCAGAGAAGAACAAGUUGGAGAGUAACUGCUCCAGCCUUGACGGUAUCUGACCAGAAAGCCACGGCUAACUACGUGCCAGCCGCCGC